UUAAGAAUCUUGCGCAAUGGGGGAAACCCUGAUCCAGCAAUGCCGCGUGAGUGAUGAAGGCCUUCGGGUUGUAAAGCUCUUUUACCAGGGAUGAUAAUGACAGUACCUGGAGAAUAAGCUCCGCCUAACUCCGUGCCAGCAGCCGCGGUAAUACGGAGGGAGCUAGCGUUGUUCGGAAUUACUGGGCGUAAAGCGCGCGUAGGCGGUUACUCAAGUCAGGGGUGAAAUCCCGGAGCUCAACUCCGGAACUGCCCUUGAAACUAGGUGACUAGAAUCUUGGAGAGGCGAGUGGAAUUCCGAGUGUAGAGGUGAAAUUCGUAGAUAUUCGGAAGAACACCAGUGGCGAAGGCGACUCGCUGGACAAGUAUUGACGCUGAGGUGCGAAAGCGUGGGGAGCAAACAGGAUUAGAUACCCCGGUAGUCC
rnacentral:rRNA from 1 species